CGGGGCCGGCGGAGGGAGGAGCGGACGGGAGCAGGCAGGCCCAGCGCCCAGGCGGCGGCGGCGGCGGCGGCGGCGGCGGCGGCGGCGGCGGCGGCGGGGGCAUGGAGCCCCUGCGCGUCCUGGAGUUGUACAGCGGCAUCGGAGGCAUGCACCAGGCGCUGAGGGAAAGCUGUAUACCUGCACAAGUGGUGGCUGCCAUUGAUGUAAACACUGUCGCUAAUGAAGUAUACAAGUAUAAUUUUCCUCACACACAGUUACUGGCCAAGACAAUUGAAGGCAUUACACUAGAAGAGUUUGACAAAUUGUCUUUCAAUAUGAUUUUAAUGAGCCCUCCCUGUCAACCAUUCACCAGAAUUGGCCUACAAGGUGAUGUGACUGAUCCAAGGACAAAUAGCCUCUUAUAUAUUCUAAAUAUUCUCCCAAGAUUACAGAAACUACCAAAAUAUGUUCUUUUAGAAAAUGUCAAAGGUUUUGAAGUAUCUUCGACAAGAGACUUAUUAAUACAAACGUUAGAAAAUUGUGGUUUUCAGUACCAAGAAUUUCUAUUAUCUCCAACCUCUUUUGGCAUUCCAAAUUCAAGGCUACGGUAUUUCCUUAUUGCAAAGCUUCAGUCAGAACCAUUACCUUUUCAAGCCCCUGGUCAGGUGCUGAUGGAGUUCCCUAAAACUGAAUCUGAAAAUCCAGAAAAAAAUACAAUAGAUGCAGAAAAUAAAAUUGAAAGAAAGAAAAUUGAACCAAAUGUUUGCUUUGAUAAGGGCAGACAGUGUUCUGGAAAAGAGACCAUUCUUUUUAAGCUCGAAACUAUACAAGAACUUGACCGGAAACAUCACCAAGACAGUGAUCUCUCUGUGCAAAUGCUAAAAGAUUUUCUUGAAGAUGAUGUUGACAUGAAUCAGUAUUUUUUACCACCAAAGUCAUUGCUGCGAUACGCUCUUUUGCUAGACAUUGUUAAGCCCACUUGCCGAAGGUCCACAUGCUUUACCAAAGGUUAUGGAAGCUACGUAGAAGGGACAGGAUCUGUGUUACAGACUACAGAGGAUGUGCAGAUUGAGGAUAUCUACAAAUCCCUUACCAAUUUGUCUCAAGAGGAAAAGAUAACAAAAUUGUUAAUGCUUAAACUUCGAUAUUUCACUCCUAAAGAAAUAGCAAAUCUCCUUGGAUUUCCUUCAGAGUUCGGAUUUCCUGAGAAGAUAACAGUGAAGCAGCGUUAUCGGCUACUUGGAAAUAGUCUCAAUGUGCAUGUAGUAGCUAAACUAAUCAAAAUCCUCUAUGAAUAAUUUAAAAAUAACUCUGAAAGAUGGUCGCAUUAUUUCUUCAUAUCCAGAUGUCAGAAGAAAAUGUCAGAAAAAUAAUCCUACCUUCUGAUUACUUCUCCACUGGAAGCUACAGAAAAUGGAGGUAAACAUUAUCUAAUUUUAUCUUUAAUUCUACCUCCAUCUGAACCCUGAAACUUCAUUGUCCUUUCUUCAUUUGUAAAUACUUUCCUUUAGUUUACUAUCAUCAGAUCUUGCCUUUGUCUUCCUUCUCUGCUUCUUGUAAGUUAAAUUUUCCAUCAAGUUCUAAGGAAUGUAGCUUGGCAGAUUUUAGGGAGGAAACUGCCCUCUGACCCCAAUUCAUGUGACUAUUCUGUGAAUUAGCUUUUUAAAAUUUUUCUUUUUCAGUAGACUUCUUGGAAUUAGGGUUUCUAAUCAAACUGUUUUGUAUAAUAAAUCCUGUCAUUUUUAUUUCAGUGACAAAAACAAGUAACAAAAAGAAGAAAAAUUAAAAGAAAUAAGACCAGAAAUAUCACAAGAUUAAAAUGAUAUUUUUAUCUUUAAAGGAUAAUCAUUUUGAUGUGUAGAAAUUAGAACCCUGUGCAUUGCUGGUAGAAAUGUAAAAUGGUGCAGCCACUGCAGAAGAUAGAUGAUGAUUCCUUUAAAAAAAUUAAACAUACAGUUAUCAUAUGACCCAGCAAUUCCACUUCUGGGUAUUUACCCAAAAGGAUUGAAAGUAAGGACUUGACCAGGUAUUUGUAUAUUAAUGUUCACAGUAGCAUUAUUCGCAAUAGCCAAAAUGUGGAAGCAAUCAAAGUGUCCAUCAGUGGAUGAAUGGAUAAACAAAAUGUGGUGUAUACAUACAGUGGAUUAUUAUUCACCCAUUGAAAGAAAGAAAUUCUGACAUAUGCAAUAACAUGGAUGAUCUCUGGGGAUAUUAUAGUUGGUGAAAUAAGCCAGACACAGAAGGGCAAAUUUUCUAUAAUUCCACUUAUAUGGAGUACAUGAAAGAAUCAGGUUCAUAGAGAUAGAAUGUAGACUAGACAUUACCAGGGCUUGGGGGCUGGGAGUUCAUGUUUAAUGGGUGCAGAGCUUCUGUUUGGGGUGGUGAAAAAGUUUUGGACAUAGAUGGUGGUGAUAGUUGCAUAGCAGUGUAAAUGUACUUAAUACUACUGAACUGUAUACAUAACAAUCCUUAAAAUGGCAAGUUUUAUGUUAUAUACAUUUUGCCACAAUUUAACAAAAAUACCCUAAUCAUUCCCCACCACCAUUUUUCAGAAAAACUCAUAGAUAAAUAUGGAUAUAGGGAAGUUGUAGGCCAAUGCAUAUACAUAUCAAUUAUCACACCUACAUUUUGUGUAUAGUAUUUAAAGACAAACCUUAGCACAAGUCUCAUAAAUUUUAGUACACAACAAUCUGAAAUUACUUUGUCACACUUUCAUUAGGUUCUCUUCACUGCUGAAAGAAUCUUACUAAUAAAAAGGUACAGAGUUUUACUAUGAUUAAGCUAUAAUUAUAGUGUCCUAUGCCCCAUUGAGCAAUGUUAGACAAAAUAAGUGUUGAGUUCCAGUGCACCAACUAUAAACCCAUGAAAGCUCUGUAGAGUGUUUUCUUCCUAAUUAUAAAACAGAAUAUUACUUUGUGAAUUUUUUUAAAUUAUUGAAGUAUAUUCAAUAUAGUGAUUCUUGCCCUUGAAAAUAAAAAAGUAGCAAGCAUAAAACACCUUAAUGAAGACAUAUUUACAGUGUCAUUUAUUUAGCAUAUACAUAUAUGCAAAAUUAAUCUUAAAAAUGUUAUUUUAAUGAAUGUCUGCUCUAUGUUUUUGGUAAUAAAUAUGCCUAACAUUUGUUUUACAAAUCCUGAUAUUUGGACUUACUGUUAAUUUAUGCAGUAUUUUGGAAACUACAGACUCUUCUUCUAAAAAGAACUAUAUGUAAUGAAAUCUUUACCAUUUCUAACAGUAAACUGAUUUUUAAAAAAGAUUUUAUUUAUUUAUUCGAGAGAGACAGAGAGUGAGCAAGAGUGGGCACAAGCAAGGUGAGGGGCAGAGGGAAAAGCAGACUCCCCACUGAGCAGGGAGCCCUCUGCAGGGCUCGAUGCCCUAACCCCAGGAUCAUGACCUGAGUCGAAGGCAGAUGCUUAACUAAACUGAGCCACCCAGGUGUCCCAGUAAACUGAUCUUUAUCUUUAUCUUCCUUUUUGUAUCACUUCUUUUGGUGCUUUUUCAAAUUGCUUGCCAAAUACUUUAAAGUUAUUACCCUGCCUCAUACUUUUAGUAUGAGGCAACUCAUACUUUUAGUAUGAGGCAACUCAUACUCAACUUUUUUGGACCCCAAACUAAUGAACAAGAGAUAACCAAAUGAAUAACACAAGCAAGAUGAAUCAUAUUGGAAAAUUAUUUUGCAAAGGAGAUAGGUAGUCAUCAUACUAGAAAGAGCUAGAGUUUGACAGUCUUGUGAGGCAGUAGAGCCAAAUGACAGAAGGAAGGGCACAAAUCACCCCAUUACUAAGGGAUCAGUUGACCUUCAGAACAUCCUACACAUUUCGUUCUGGCUCUUCAACAAGACGUGCACCUGGACACUGCCCAUAAAAAGUGAGACAAUACUCUGACAACCAGCCUGUUUGCUCCCCUCUCAAGAUAGAGCCUUUUCAAGAGACAAAACCAGGAGUUGAAGUUGUGAAAGUCAGGACUAUGCAGCACUUUUUAAAAAAUUGAGGGUAGCGGGUAGGAUUCCUUAACAAAAAUACCAGUCUGUUUUCUGGUUCAAUCUCAACAUAGUUCUGGUCAGAAGUUAUUCAACUAGAGGCCUCUGAGGAUGGAGAAAUGAAGCUAAGGACACAUAAAACUGGUUAGUUCUAGUGAUUGCAGUGCAGAAUGAAGAAGCAACUACUGUGUUGGUCUAACCUCAUGUGUAUACGGACAGAUGCAUCGUGCGUGCCAUCUGAUGUGUCUGCAUCCAAACUGAAGUGCCUUUUUUUGGAAAGGGAGGUAACUUUAUAGUGUAAAAUCAGAAUUUAGGGGUGCCUGGGUGGCUCAGAUGGUUAAAUAAACAUCUCCCUUCGGUUCAGAUUAUGAUCUCCAGGUCCUGAGGUCAAACCCUAUGUUGGGCUCCCUGCUCAGCUGGGAGCCUGCUUCUCCCUCUCCUGCUCCUCCCCCUGCUCAUGCGCUCUCUCUCUCUCUCAAAUGAAUAAAUAAAAUCUUAAAAUCAGAAUUUAGAAUCAAGAGGUUCCCAAAUAAGCCAAGAUAAAAUAAUAAUCUAAUUUUAAGUCCAUGUAGAUAAAGCAGUUAAAAUGUUUUCCUCAGGUGGUUAUGCUAUUGAAAAGAUGGAUAACUUUUUAUUAUUUGAUCUUCAGCUUGGAACUAUGACUAUUUUAGGUCACAAGUUAUAGACUGGUUUACAAAUAGCUUUGGACUUUGAAAUUGAGUGAGGGUCAUAUGAUCUCAGCAGUUUUCUCAGAGCCUGUGGUUGAACUCAUUAUGUAAUUAUGAAAUUUUUCAAGACAGCCUUUGAACCUCCUUGUACUAGAACUCUCUUCUUCUCAGCUCCUAAUGUGUUUCAUACAACUAUCCUAUCAUACAACUUCCUGACAUUCAUUUAUUUUUUUUUGAUCUGCUUCCAAUCCAGUCUCUUCUUUCUCCAUUCAUCAUACCAAGAUAUCUCAGUAUGCCUAUAAUAUCUCAUUUAGGAACCCCUUUGCACAUUUUAUUAAAAGGCAGUAAGAAUCUGAGACCUUUUCCUCAACUUCAGUUUAUAUCAACCUGUCAGCACCAUUUUUCCUCUCAUCAUUCCUUCACUUUGCUACUAAAAUUUUAAACCUACAGUUAAAAAAAAAAAACACAUAGUUUCCUAGCCUCUGUGUCUCUUUCUCUCUUUAGGACUUGUAAGAAUAUUUUACAUUAAGAUAUUCAUGCUCUUCGAAAUAUUUUGCAAACAUGACCCAAAGUAUUUCACUGUUCGUCUUGACUUGUGAGUUUAUUCCUUUUUAAAAUUUACUUGUUCAAUAAAUAUGAA